rnacentral:lncRNA from 1 species
GGCCUAACUUAUGUGUCAUGCAAAGGAUGGCUCUUGGAAAAAUGCAAAGAAGCAGGGGCUGCUAAGGGAGAGAUGUGAAGGUCAAGGCAGCUCUGAGCUCCUGACAGCCGCCCUUCCAGCCUUCUCCUGCCUACCAUAGAGAGAUGCUAUGGGCUCUUGGUCCAGAGACUCAAAUUCAAGGAAAAGGAGAGGCAACAUUUGCAGUGUUGAUCCUUGAGUUGAACAAAGAGUGGUCAGGAGAAGAAACCAACAAGAAAUGUAACCUACCUCCAGAACUCAGGAACUCAGCAAAUUCUCCCAGAUCGUGAUGCCUCAUUUCUGAGGCCUUCAUCUUUACCAAAUCUUUCAAUCCAAAGCAAACGAAUACUGAAAAUUCAUGUAUCCAAAGCAAAUGAAUACUGAACAUUCACGUUGAGAUGAUCUUUAAAUGUAAUUAAAUAGAGAUAAUGUAACUAAAA